AAAAAUGCCAUGGUCCAGCAGCCACUCAGCUCAGUGGGGUGGUGCAUGCAGGGGCGCGUGACAAGCAUGAGGUGUCCUCUCCCUCCCCGCAUACUUCAGCCCCUACAACGGCGGGUCCCUGGGCCAUGACGAGCGAGCCGAUGCCUAUGCCCAGCUGGAGCUCCGGACCCUGGAGCAGUCCCUCCUGGCCACCUGCGUGGGCAGCAUCUCGGAGCUGAGUGACUUGGUCUCCCGUGCCAUGCACCACAUGCAGGGGCGUCACCCCCUGUGCCCGGGUGCCAGCCCUGCCCGCCAGGCCCGCCAGCCGCCACAGCCCAUCACUUGGUCCCCCGACGCCCUCCACACGCUCUACUACUUUCUGCGGUGUCCACAGAUGGAGUCCAUGGAGAACCCCAACCUGGACCCCCCGAGAAUGACCUUGAACAAUGAACGGCCCUUCAUGCUGCUGCCGCCCCUCAUGGAGUGGAUGCGCGUGGCCAUCACCUACGCAGAGCACCGCCGCAGCCUUACCGUGGACAGCGGCGACAUCCGGCAGGCAGCCCGGCUGCUGCUGCCUGGUCUGGACU
rnacentral:sRNA from 1 species